rnacentral:rRNA from 1 species
UACGGGGGGGGUAAGCGUUGUUCGGAAUUACUGGGCGUAAAGGGCUCGUAGGCGGCCAACUAAGUCAGACGUGAAAUCCCUCAGCUUAACUGGGGAACUGCGUCUGAUACUGGAUGGCUUGGAUUCGGGAGAGGAAUGCGGAAUUCCAGGUGUAGCGGUGAAAUGCGUAGAUAUCUGGAGGAACACCGGUGGCGAAGGCGGCAUCCUGGCCCGUCAUUGACGCUGAGGAGCGAAAGCCAGGGUAGCAAACGGG